rnacentral:rRNA from 1 species
CUCCUAACGGGAGGCAGCAGUGGGAAUCUUGCACAAUGGACGAAAGUCUGAUGCAGCGACGCCGCGUGAGCGAUGAAGCCCUUCGGGGUGUAAAGGCUCUUUCGACGGGAACGAUAAUGACGGUACCCGGAGAACGAAGCUGCGGCUAACUACGUGCCAGCAGCCGCGGUAAUAC